rnacentral:misc_RNA from 1 species
UUUCCGUAGGUGAACCUGCGGAAGGAUCAUUAAAAAAUUGGACUCCAUUGGUGAGUUCAUUAAUAAUCCUACCCUUUGUGAAUUUGUUUGUUUGAAUAAUUUUUUUCCAAAAAAAAUUAUUGAAUGUCUUUCCCUGUUUUGGUGGAGCUUGUAAAGUGAAACCAGGCAGGGGAAUGGCAAACAAUAAUUAUUUUUGAAAAAGACCUUUUUUAAAAUUAAACUUUUUGUAUUCAUUUGUCUAAAAUUAUUUUUAUAAUAUAAAAACAACUUUUGACAAUGGAUCUCUUGGUUCUCGCAACGAUGAAGAACGCAGCAAAAUGCGAUAAGUAGUGUGAAUUGCAGAAUACGUGAAUCAUCGAAUCUUCGAACGCAUAUUGCACUUUUUUAGUUUACUAAAAAAGUAUGUCUGUUUGAGUAUCAGUAAAAUAUUCUCAUAAAAAAUUUAUUUUUUAUGGUUAUGAGUGUUUUACAACGAUAACAAGUUGUUUCACUUUAAAUUCUUUGUUAUCAAAAAAAUCAUUAAAAGCUAAUUUUAAAGAUUUUUUAAAAUUGGAUAAAAUUUUCCCGUAAAAAGGAAUAACCUAAACAAUUUUAAAAAAUUAAAAUUGGUUUGAUUUUUCUUGAUUUAAAAAGGAAAAAAAAGUAAAAAUUAACUUGAUCUCAAAUCAGAUAAGAGUACCCGCUGAACUUAAGCAUAUCAAUAAGCGGAGGAAAAGAAACUAACUAGGAUUCCCUCAGUAACGGCGAGUGAAGCGGGAAGAGCUCAAAUUUGAAAUCUUCAAGGUUUUACCUUGACGAAUUGUAGUUUAAAGAAGUGUUUUCUGUUGGAGUUUUGGUAAAAGUUCUUUGGAAAAGGACAUCAUAGAGGGUGAGAAUCCCGUAUUUGACCAUUAUCUCCAGCUUUGUGAUACACUUUCAAAGAGUCGGAUUGUUUGGGAAUGCAGUCCAAAAUGGGUGGUAAAUUUCAUCUAAAGCUAAAUACUGGCGAGAGACCGAUAGCGAACAAGUACCGUGAGGGAAAGAUGAAAAGAACUUUGAAAAGAGAGUUAAACAGUACGUGAAAUUGUCAAAAGGGAAGCGUUUGACACCAGUGUUGUUUUCUCGAAAAUCAAUUAAAAAAGGCCGGAUUUUGUGUUGUAUUGACUUUAUCAGCUUUCUGCACUUUUUUCUUGUCUUUUUUAAUGCACUUUUCGUUUAACAAGUCAACAUCAAUUUCUUUUGUUGUAAAAGGGUCAUUGGAAGGUGGCUUUCUUUUCGGAGAAAGUGUUUAUAGCCUUUGGCCUCUGCAAUCGGAGAGAUUGAGGUCUGCAGCGUAGAUCCUUCGGGUUAGAUACAUUUGUGCUAAGUUAUAGCCUUUCAUAGACAACUUGUUGACUAUGAUCAGUCAUGUAGCUUACUCGCUUAUGCUAUUU